ensembl:lncRNA
CGUAACUUCUGCUUUACAUAAGUGUAUUACCUUGAAAGUGUCACGCAACAUAACCACGCUUUGCUUAUCUCAGUUCUGCAAUAUUUUAUUUAAUCCGAUCCCUUUGCCAGAUGAGAAGUGCUAAAGCUUUCACGUCACCCUCAGAUAUGAAUUUUCUCCAAAGACAGCAAGGUGCUAAAAUUGACUCCUGAGACCUUUACAUUUCAAGAGUGAAGCCUCGGUCCUUUUAACUUCAUGUUUAUAUUCCCCAACAUGGAACCUAAUGCCUUUUAUAUGAAAUGACACGGCCAAGAAACUCUAAGGGGCAGAAGAACCAAGUGAUGGCGGAAGGAACAGCACACAACCCAGGAGCAAUGUGAAAAAUGUUAUUAUUUCUGCUGAAAUGGAGGAAGGUCCACGUGAUACAGCUGCCCAAGAAGGUAGCGUGGAAAUGUGCCCCAGGGUCCGACCCAUCUCGGCGAAGCACGGUCUGAGCGAUUCGGGGCGAGGAGGAUCUGUCUGCACGGCAUCUUUCUUGACAUGCAUGGAAUUAUUCAUAAGACUGACGUCAG